AUGGGAGGGGCGGCGGAGAGCGGUAGCUCCUCCACGCGCACAGCCGAUCGCACGGUGAUCCGGACGGGCCCCGUGCCGCCCCUUCCCGGCGUACCUUCGCGGAAGAGAAUCUUGGACGGCUCCCACCGUCCCGACGGCGGCGUGACAAUCAAGCCGCUCCUGGUGGACAGCAAGCAUCGUGAUGGAUCCAUCCUGCGUGAAUCAUGUUGGUGGCAUAAAAUGUAUCGUGUGAACAUCACGGACGAGACUUCUGUGGAACCAAUGAUGAUGUCAAAGAAACCCAAUUGUCAGCCGUACUCGUGGGACUGCCAAAUGCAUGGAUAUUGUAAUAUGAUGCAGAUAUAUUGGCUGAAGCUAGCAUAUAUUUCUGUUGAUUCCUUCGAUGGCCCAGUUCAGGUGUAUGGAUUCCUGGCUGCCCGGGACAUCCUGAACCCAAGGCGUAAUUACCUGUUCAACCGCGGUAGAGAUGAUCCAUUGGAAAUAGUUCAGGAUGAUGAUUGGUUGAUACAAAUGUCUAGCCCCAAGAGAGGCAUUGAAAUGACAUCUCCUGUGCUGGUUGAGUUCGACAUGAGGAUCAAGAUUGGAGAAAAAGAAGAAGAUGACCUACAGCUCAUUGACGGGGCCGUCAGCUUCAGCGACAUGGACCCGCCGAUCAACAUGGCCUUCACGCGACGGCUCUGUGGUGAGGGCGGGGCGGUGGACAUAAAUCUAGCACAUAUGUAUGAAGCAGCAGAGGCCACAAUACAGGUUCGGAUAUCAGAAGCAUGCGGCAGUGGCUUGAGCUUGUGUCUGACGGCUUCUGGCAGUGCGUUACAACAGCAGGCCCGUCUCUUCGAUGGCAUUGUGGGAGAGACACCAUGUGACCUAGGCAAGUUUGUGUUCGCUGUGAUGAGCCUCACCAAAUUGGUUGUAUUAUUGAAGGUUGGCCGCGGCGGGGGCUCGGAUUGUGUUUAUCGUUUUCAUCUCUUUGAUGUUCAGAAGCAUGGAGAUUCGACCGUGAGUUUCGAGAUUCCUGACAUGGUCACUAUAGAGGUGAAGGUGACUUGGUCAACUUUGGACAUCCCUGACAGUGCACUAGAAGAAGACAAUCGCUACAACUGGAGGAAGGAGCUUAGAAGUGAUGACGACGACGACGACGACGACUAUGAGUAUGAUUGGAAUGAUUAUUAA
rnacentral:rRNA from 1 species